UCAUUUCCAUCAUGUGGUCGCGAUUUACAUUAAUUCAGUAUAAAUGAAAUAUCUGUUUUGAAUUCACAAUGUAAUUGAUUUAAAUCCGAUUUAAAUUGCACAAAUUUAAAACAAAACGUAUUUAAUUACAAAGUUGAAAAAUAUAGAGAAUUGCUAACAAUGAAUCUGAUAAGCGUCUUGAGUGUAGUGCUGUUAGUAAUUCAUCUGCUGACUUCCAUAUUCGCACAAAUAUUAGCGACGAUACGUCCUCCGUCCGAAUUUAAAUUGCACCUACCGCCUAUAAACACCGGAGAUAAGCCCUUCACAUUCAGGGCAUCGCCCUUAGUGUCGCCUGGCGGAAAUCUUGUCGGAGGGGUCGGAAAGAUCAUUUGGAAUCCGCCGGGUACUGACAACAAGAUUAGCCGAACUAUGAAAUGGAGAAACGGAGAGAGCUGGAGCUUCGGUACGGAAGAGUUGAUGCUGCUGCUGCUGCUCCUGCUGCUGCUGAUGAUGAUGAUUAUAAUGACGAUGACGACGACGACGACGACGAUGAUGAUGAUGAUGAUGACGACGACUCACCAUUCAUUGGAUGAAUUCUACAGAAAUCCCCCUGUCAUUUCCAUCAUGUGGUCGCGAUUUACAAUAAUUCAAUGUAAAUGAAACAGCCGGUUUGAAUGCACAAUUUGAUUGAUUUAAAUCCGAUUUACAUUGCACACAUUAAAAACAUUAAAAUGGAGAAUUGAAGUUGGUUUAUUGUAUUAGUUACGAAGUUAACCAGGACUUAACAAUGAAUCUGAUAAGCUUUUUGAGUGUAGUGCUGUUAGUAAUGCAUCUGCAGGCUUCCAUAUUUGCACAGAUUUUAUGGACGAUAAUUCCUCCGGACAAAUUAAAAUUUGACCUACGACCUAAUAACACCAGAAUUAAGCCCUUCACAUUCAGGACAACGCCUUUAGUGUCACCUGCCAGAGAUCUUGUCGGAGGUGCCGGAAGGAUCACUUGGCACCUGUCGGGUACCAACAAAACGAUUAACCGAACUAUGAGCUGGAGAGACGGGCAGGGUACGCAAGGAGAUGUCGGAGUCGGGCAACAAAGGAACACACGCAUCUCAUGGGUCGUCAAUCAUAGUCCGAAGACAGAGUUGUCCGGUCAAGUCGGCGUCCGACUUAACAUUGGCGGCGAAGGAAGAAGACGUUCAUCACGAAGAGGCGAAGGUGGAAGAAGACGUUCAUCACGAAGAGGCGGAGGUGGAAGAAGGCAUUUAUCACGUGGAGACGGCGGAGGCGGCGAAGGCGAUCGCCUUAAAGAGGCAAAAUCCCUGGAGGAAGCUCAAUGAAGUUUUCACUGAUUUUGCGUAUUGAAGUGUUCAAAUAAUUUAAAUGAAAAUUAAAUUAAAUUUAUCUUG